CAUCAGUCCCCUAACCACAUCAGUCCCCUAACCACAUCAGUCCCCUAACCACGUCAGUCCCCUAACCACAUCAGUCCCCUAACCACGUCAGUCCCCUAACCACAUCAGUCCCCUAACCACGUCAGUCCCCUAACCACAUCAGUCCCCUAACCACAUCAGUCCCCUAACCACAUCAGUCCCCUAACCACGUCAGUCCCCUAACCACGUCAGUCCCCUAACCACGUCAGUCCCCUAACCACGUCAGUCCCCUAACCACAUCAGUGUCGUAACCACAUCAGUCCCCUAACCACAUCAGUCCCCUAACCACAUCAGUCCCCUAAACACGUCAGUCCCCUAACCACAUCAGUCCCCUAACCACAUCAGUCCCCUAACCACAUCAGUCCCCUAACCACAUCAGUCCCCUAACCACAUCAGUCCCCUAACCACGUCAGUCCCCUAACCACAUCAGUUCCGUAACCACAUCAGUCCCCUAAACACAUCAGUCCCCUAACCAACACACUACACCCAGGCAGUCUUGUUCACUUCAGUCUAGUUUUGCCACGAACAUUAAUAAGUCUGUUUGUCUGUCUGUCCAUCCACUAUAGCCUUGUGUGGAGUGGUUUUGGAGCUAUAAACACAGGUCCUGAGUCAGAUUUACAGGUCCCUGUGCUUUGGGCCUCAUUAUUUUCUGCCCACUCUGAGUGGUUCUGUGUGGUUCAGGGUCAGAUCUACGAAUUGGUCCCAAAUGGCACCCUAUUCCCUACAUAGUGCACUACGUUUGAUCAGAGCCCUGGUUAAAAAUAGUGCACUACAUCAGGAAUAGGGUGCCAUCUGGGACUCAGACUAUGACCAGGCUAGGGAUGAUCCCUGUGGUCAGGACUGACUCACCCGGUCCAAUAGGACCCCACCUAACCUAGACCACCAAGACUUCUCAUACGUGUGUGUGUGUGUGUGAGUAUGGUAGAUGACGUGUGUGUGUUUGUGUGUGUGUGUGUAUCUAUGUGUGUGUCUGUGUGUGUGUAUCUAUGUGUGUGUCUGUGUGUGUAUGUGUGCGUGCCUGUGUGUGUGUGUGUGUGUGUGUGUGCGUGCCUGUGUGUGUGUGUGCCUGUGUGUGUGCCUGUGUGUGUGUGUGUGUGUGUGCCUGUGUGUGUGCCUGUGUGUGUGUGUGUGUGUGUGUGUGUGUGUGUGUGUGUGUGUGUGUGUGUGUGUGUGUGUGUGUGUGUGUGUGUGUGUGUGUGUGUGUGUGUGUGUGUGUGUGUGUGUGUGUGUGUGUGUGUGUAU